UGGUUCUAGAUCAGUAAACA
rnacentral:miRNA from 1 species